CUGUAUGAGACGCACCGGGCUUUCAGCUAACUCCAAUGUAAACCGAUCUGCGUCAUUAUUAGACGGUUAAAGAAAUUGACGUAGUAUAAAGAGCAAGAAAGUCUGCGUAGGGCGGGUGUGAGACCGCUGUUUGUAUCCCGUAAAACCAA